UUAUGAUGUGCGAGGGGGUGGGGCCCAGGCAGCCCCGCCCUUCACACCUGCCAUGGCAGUGCCGGCAGCAUCAUGGUGCGCUACAUCCACUACCUGCGCCGCUACCGGCGCCAGCGGGCACAGCGUGGAGCACGGUGUGGCCGGAUGGGGCGGCGCCGGCGGGGGCAGAGGCGGCGGCGCCCACAGGCAGCCCGGCGCUGCUCCCACUACCGGCGCAGCGUGAUCUUCUGAACCCACCACCGAGACCCCAGCGCUGACACCGCACCCUCGAGACCCUCCAGCGAAGACCCCCCAGCUGAGACCUGCCCGGGAGCUGCCCUGGCAAUAAACCAGCUCCGCACAGUC